rnacentral:miRNA from 1 species
ACUGAAAACACUACAACCCCU